rnacentral:rRNA from 1 species
AUUGAACGCUGGCGGCAGGCCUAACACAUGCAAGUCGAACGAGUGGCGGACGGGUGAGUAAUGUCUGGGAAACUGCCUGAUGGAGGGGGAUAACUACUGGAAACGGUAGCUAAUACCGCAUACCAUCAGAUGUGCCCAGAUGGGAUUAGCUUGUUGGGGGGGUAACGGCUCACCUAGGCGACGAUCCCUAGCUGGUCAGUGAGGAUGACCAGCCACACUGGAACUGAGACACGGGCCAGAACCCCACGGGAGGGAGUAGGGGGGAAGAUUGCACAAUUGGGGGAAGCCUGAUGCAGCCAUGCCGCGGGUAUGAAGAAGGCCUUCGGGUUGUAAAGUACUUUCAGCGGGGAGGCGUUACCCGCAGAAGAAGCACCGGCUAACUCCGUGCCAGCAGCCGCGGUAAUAC